UGAGUAAUGUCUGGGAAACUGCCUGAUGGAGGGGGAUAACUACUGGAAACGGUAGCUAAUACCGCAUAACGUCUUCGGACAAAUGGAGGAACCUUCGGGCCUCAUGCCAUCAGAUGUGCCCAGAUGGGAUUAGCUAGUAGGUGGGGUAAUGGCUCACCUAGGCGACGAUCCCUAGCUGGUCUGAGAGGAUGACCAGCCACACUGGAACUGAAACACGGUCCAAACUCCUAGGGGAGGCAGCGGGGAGAAAUUUUGAAAAGGGGGGCGCAAGCCUGAUGCAGCCAUGCCGCGUGUAUGAAGAAGGCCUUCGGGUUGUAAAGUACUUUCAGCGAGGAGGAAGGCAUUAAGGUUAAUAACCUUAGUGAUUGACGUUACUCGCAGAAGAAGCACCGGCUAACUCCGUGCCAGCAGCCGCGGUAAUACGGAGGGUGCAAGCGUUAAUCGGAAUUACUGGGCGUAAAGCGCACGCAGGCGGCCUGUCAAGUCAGAUGUGAAAUCCCCGGG
rnacentral:rRNA from 1 species